AUUGAACGCUGGCGGCAUGCCUUACACAUGCAAGUCGAACGGCAGCACGGGAGCAAUCCUGGUGGCGAGUGGCGAACGGGUGAGUAAUAUAUCGGAACGUGCCCAGUCGUGGGGGAUAACGUAGCGAAAGCUACGCUAAUACCGCAUACUAUCUAUGGAUGAAAGCGUGGGAUCGCAAGACCUCGCGCGAUUGGAGCGGCCGAUAUCAGAUUAGGUAGUUGGUGAGGUAAAGGCUCACCAAGCCGACGAUCUGUAGCUGGUCUGAGAGGACGACCAGCCACACUGGGACUGAGACACGGCCCAGACUCCUACGGGAGGCAGCAGUGGGGGAAUUUUUGGACAAUGGGCGGCAAGCCUGAUCCAGCAAUGCCGCGUGCAGGAUGAA
rnacentral:rRNA from 1 species